GAGGACAGAAGGUAGCUAGUAGGACCGUUUAUCCCUAAUGAUUUCAUCAUGUAAGGGAUUGAAGGAGCGUUCUUUAUCAACAUGAAGCCGGAUUUUCUGGGAAGAUAGUCGAUACCGAGGCGCCUUGCAGGCUGCUAACGGGGAGGAAUGCGCAGAAUAGGUCAUUUUAUCGGACUGGGCUGGUGGGAGGCAACGGCCCCCGCAGUGUAGUGAGAGUGCUAGUGUCAGCUAGCUAGCAUAACAGAGGGACUUCCGGAUGGCCUUUUCAAAAUAAAAAAAAAGCCGCGGCGAGAGCAGGAUGCGUUCCGUCGAAAUUUCUGAUACAUUGCAUUUACUGACACAGUUGAGACUCCCACAGACGACGAAGUAAUGGAUUUAUGAGUACGCUCCAAUGAUUCGCAGCGCCUUAUUCGUCAUAAACGCAAGAUCGACAAAAGUACUGCUUUUAUUUUAGUGGGAUCUUCCGCAUCCCCAGCCCAGCGGUCGUUAGCCCACUUGCCACCUUGACACAUACGAACCGGGGUGAAGUUACAAAGCCUCGAACCAAAACAAGACUCUGCAGCCUGUGGUGGACAACGACGCCUUGUUAUGAAUGGGACCUACCUCGUCUCGGCGUGUGGUUUUCGAGUCAGAUGCCUUUUUAACCGUAGCACCCGUUGUUCAUCUGAAAUCGGAGCCCCGGUGGAAAAUACGGUUUGCCCUUUAAGAUCAACAUGUACUGUCCGACACUGACAAACAAGGAGAAGCUCUUGUAGCCGGAGGAGGAUUGCCUGCCCUAACUUUUCCUCCUCCUGGGAUCAAUGACGGGACCCAACUCCCCAAGCCGGGCCGGCACCUCCCCAGCCAAGCUGAGCAGGCAUGGCCGGUCCAAAAGCACCAGCUCACACUGCCUCCUCCGCUGCAGCACCCAGGAGGAUUCCUCCGCCUCUCCCCCAAACAACAGCUCCAGGUCCCCCGGGGAUGAAGAGGAGAAGGAUGGAGGGGUUCUUUUCUACGUUAACAGGACUGGUUUUCCCAUCGAGAGUGCUACCUGGGAGAGGAUGUGGUCCCACGUGGCUGCUGUGCACCCAGAGGGCCAGGAGAUGGUGGACAGGAUACGAAAUGCUGCGUAUCUGCCCAAGCAUGCUGUUCCCUCGGUCCCAAACUUCAAACCGUCCAUGUCAGUCCCAGACUGGUUGGUGGCCGUCCAGAACUACAUGAAGGCUCUGCAAUACAACCACACAGGAACUCAAUUCUUUGAAAUCAAGAAGAGCCGUCCACUGUGCGGGUUAAUGGAGACAGCAAGAGAGAUGAUCAGGGAGUCUUUGCCAAUCAAAUGUCUCGAAGCCGUCAUCUUGGGAAUCUACCUGACCAACGGGCUGACGUCACUUGAGCGUUUCCCCAUCAGCUUUAAGACACAGUUUUCAGGCCACUGCUUCCACCACGUUGUGCUGGGUGUCUACUGCAACGGCCGCUACGGAUCACUGGGUAUGAGCCGUCGCCAGGACCUGAUGGACAAACCACUGACCCACCGCACACUAGGAGAAUUGGUGGCUGAAUUCGAGAGCUCCUACAAGAGAUACCAGCACACCCUGAAGAAGGUGAAGAUUGGCCUGUAUGUGCCUCACGACCCCCACGUCUUCCAGCCAAUCGAGUGGAAGCAUUUGGUGCUGAAUGCUGCGCGACUGGGAGCUCAGGAGAUGAGGAAGGAGCUGGAGAAACAUGGCCGCGACAUGAGGAUGAAGAUCCUUAAAUCAUCCAGCGCUCAGUCACCAAUCAAGGAGCGGAGCCGGGGGAAAUCCUUAUCGCCACGGCGACGGCAAACCAGUCCCCAGCGACGAUUCCCACACCGCAGAGACAAAUCGCCGGCCUCGGUGGAGAGGAAACCUCCGGAGCUCAGCACUCUCAACGACGGCUACCAGAUCCGCAUCUGAUCCCCUUACUUCACCUCCAAAGCGUCCCAAAAUCUGUCCAACCUCCUUCGCCACCCCUGAUCCAAGAGUCUCUACCUGCCACCCGUGUUUUUAGGAGAGGAGUCACUGUAGGCGGAGCUAACACAGACGAGUUUUCCAAAAUGCUGCUGCUCAACUCCUGCAGCGCUUUGGCUUCAUUGAUUACCAAAGUAAAGUCUGAGGUGCACUUUGACUCUUCUUGAACCAACAGCAGUUUAAAUGAGUAAGUAGACUUCUGUACGCAAAGUCUAUUGAUCAGAGCGGACGAGUCUAGAAUAAGGAGAGGACGUUCAAUAGAGUAUGCAGGGAAAUUAAAGACACUGAGUCGAUGGGAGGAAUCAGAAGGAUGAAAGGGAGGAAGAAGAAGAGGAGAGGUUGAGAGGGAGUGAAAGGAGAGAGGACUCACUGCAGAAGAUCAGAGACGUAUCAUUAGAGCACUGCGGCAAACCCCCUGCACCCCCCCCCAUUCUCCUCCUCCUCCUCUGCCCUCUCCUGACACAUAACUGAAUACAUAACUACAGCUCAGUUUCCACCAACAUCAGAAAGACUCUCCUGAAACAGAGAAAUAGAGAGAAUCUCGAACACCAAAGUUAGCGUUCACAGUAUCUGGUGCUGAGUAUGAGGACAGAAAGGCUUCUCUAGCAAGACGUCAACUGAAAAAAGAAAAAGAAGUCUGUAAUACGGGAUAUGUUCACCUCUUAAUGCCUCGAGAAGUCCUUCAUGAAACACUGGGCAAAAGAAAAAUGACCCUUUGGGGUCCACUGAAGCCUUAACCUGUGAUGAAGGGCAAGAAAUAAACAUGGUUUCAUUUUAGGGCACAUAAGGCAGAAGAGGUUGGGAACCACUGAUCCAAACCAGUGAUUUUUAGAUGCCUGAAGAAAUGACAGUAUCAAGUAUUACAGAAGAAAGAAGAGCAAAUAUUAGAGAAAAAGCAACACCGAUUUCAGUCUUUGGAAGUAAUAAUCUGGACCAGGGCCAGAACUGACACUUAAAUACCUAUUGUAGAAUUGUAGCGUAUAUUUAAGUUGGGUUCCCUUGAUUGACUGAAUUUGUGCACAUUGACACUUUGCCCUCAGCGCUAAGAUGACAAAACAUAAAUGAUGCUUAUUUAAAUAGUAUUAGUACUUUGCAAAAAUAUUUUAAAUGAGGCAUAAAUAGCAAUUUUUUAAAAAAUAAUUAUUUUUUCUUCAGACAUCUGGUGGGCCAAAUCAAACCUUAUGGUGGGCUACCUUUAACCUCACUUUGGGCAGUCCUGGACUUGGCAGUAAAUUGUAAUAAAAAACAAAGAUAGAUGACCUGAGAUUGAAAUGUGCAUGACAUAGCAUCAACUACAAACAUUUACAUCAAAUAUAGACAUUAGUUAAGGAUAAAUCAAAGUAUGACCUCAUUUUUCCAGCCUCUAGCAUUUCCAAAACGAGUCAGCAGAAAGCAGGUGGAUUUUGUUUUGCGUGUUAACUGAGCUGCAGCCGACGUGUUCACACAGUAAACUAUCGCAACUGUUAGCCAGCUGGCUGCUGCUACCUUCACAGCUGGAAAAUAAAAUGAUUCAGCUGGUCCGAGUUCACCCGCAGCCAGAUCGACCACUCAGACAAACAAGGAGUGAAGGCAGAUGUUGCUGGGUGAGAGUAACAAAAGGCCUCGUUCAACCCAGAUUUAUGUGGCAGAGGGAUGUAACACUGACCGCGGGGUCCUUCGAGGGCACUGAGAUCACAAAAAUACUUUUCUAAAAGGACACCACCAUAACAUGAAGGUGCAAAUCUGCUCUGUUCUGCGUUCAACAGUGUAAAAAGACAAAGUGUUUGUAUUAAUGUAGUUUUUCAGUAAUUAACUCACAAAAUGGGAGUCAGGAAUCACGCUUUUGAUCAGUGAAGCUUUGGUACCAAGUGAUCUAAAAGAGUCCAUUCAGUACUGUAUGCACUGUUCCAUGCUCACAUACGUGAUGUAUCAAAAGGAUUGUCCAAAAAAAUCCAAUCGACUUUGAAUUCGAUUGUGUUUUUUGGAUUUUUUUGGGACUCUCCUGGUGAGGCCUUCGAUGAGUUCCAGCUGCGAAGCUUGAAAUCUCAAAACACAGGCGUCCAGUCAGAUAUUCAUGAUCGAUUAGAACAAGUCUGAUACAAAUGCUUGAAAUGAAGGUAGAAUAUCACAUAUCAAAGCUGGAGAUCAAACAGUAUCACACAAUACAGAAACAUGACAUCACAAGAAACAUUUACCACACUGUAGUUGGAUACAGGAAAUAUGUUUGUACAUCUAAAUAUAUCUAUGUUCAUUCAUGUUUGUUACAUCCACGGAAUGUAUUUCAGAUGGAACCCUUCAGACUGAGAACCAUAUAAGUCAGUUUUAAAUGAGAAAAAGAUACAGUCCUUCAAGGAGUUAGAUGCCUUGCUAAUAGGCACCUUGAAGGAAGCUACUGAGAGAGAAAGAAACAGGGAUAUUGGUUCCCUCUAAUGGUUUGGCUGCUUAGAACUUAAUUGAUGUUACGGUCUGCCUUGAGGAUACUUGGAAAGACAUGACAACUGACUUCUAUAGUUUCCAUCUGAAGGAUUAACAUGAAAAAUGUUGCUCCCCAAAAUCAAACGCAAAGAUUAUCUUUGUUCAAUAAAGCUGUACCAGGAGACCUUAGAGAUUUGGUGCCCAGAAAUCAAAAAGUCUGUACUCUGACUUCUGGGAGCUUGUCUCUUCCCGCCAAUAUGGAACCGUUUGCGUUCUGGGGUAUGCAUGUCAUUUUGAACUGCUCAGAGCAUAUCAACCAAACAUGACUUGGUUUGGAACACAACGAGUUGGUUCCAGCUGGAAUAAAAAUAAUAAAGCAGGUUUUCUUUAAUCCAAAUUGAAAAAACAAAGAGGGUGUAUCAUAUUCUACAGGUCGUAGUGUAUUGGACAACACUCUCCAUUGAUGUAACAUUGUUGAUUGCGAUUGUUCUACUCAAAACUGGUGGAACCACAGCUGGUUCACUAGAUAGCACAAAGUCUUGGAGAACCUUGAACGGAACUAUUUCAAGAACCAGCGCUAAUUUGGUGAAAAGGAGGAGUCUGUCAACUUGCCAGUAGGAACAAUAUGGACCGAUGCUUUUAUAGGAUCUCUAAUGCGCGUAAUCUAGUACUCAGGUGAGAUGAUAAACACCUGGUUUCACGUUCUCCUACUGAUCAAGUAAUUGGCAGUGCUUUGCCAAGAAAUGUAUCAGUGAGGCAACAAAGGCUGCUAGCAGGAAUGCUAACAAGCAAACAUGGGUGUAAAAACAAGUUCAAAAACUGGAAAGAAGGCAAAUUAUUCAAUAGGUUCGUUAGGCUUCAAUGAAACACAAAAUGUGUUGUACAGAAGGAUAACAUAACUUUAUUUAUGAAAACUAUCCCAGAGGACAUGUAAUGGGAACAGAAUCCUGUUCCACCAAAGUACAUCUGGUCUUUGAACUGGUUCCAUUAAAAUUCUUGAAGACUUUGUACUUUUAGGGAAUCAGCCGAUCUAUUCCACCAGUACUGAGCAGCAACUACUGAAAUCAAGGAUGCCUUAUCAAUGGACAGGAAGGAAGGAAAAGGAAUACCUGCUAUUUUUGGGGCAACUUUUGGGUUCUGAACCGAUUUAUUCUUGUUGAAAUGCUCAGAACAGUUCAAAAUUAGGGGCACUCACUGAAAUAGAACCCUUUCCAUAUUGUUGGAGAAGGACAAAAGUGGUUUAAACCGAUGCAAAGUGCAUUUUUAUGAAACGUACUUGGUACAACUUUAACUUUAUAUCUAACAAAGCAAAGAUGAUCUUAAAAAUCUGUAAAAAUGUAAGGAAGAAAAAAACAUCAUCAUCAUUUUACUUGAGGUGUUUUGAUGACAUCAAUCAUCAUCAGUGUACAGAUUGUUUGCGAGUAUUGUCAUUUGAUUGUUUUCUGACUUUUCUUUGAAUGUUUCACGGUGUCUUCUCGCUCACAGAACAAGUGUGUUUCGCUGCCAACAUUUCAUCCCAGCUCUUUGUUUCAACAACAAGCUAUGCACACACUUGUGUAUGAGGGCAGGUUAUGUAAAAAAAAAACUAGAAUCCCUGUCUUCCACAAUUCAAAGAUGGAGGAGGAAGGUGUUCGUGGCUCGAUCUACACAAAAAAAACAUCACAUGCGCAGAAAUUACUAAGUAGCUUUUCUUCACAAGCUUUCAGUCUGUGUAGAUCCAGCCUGAGCCAUUAUCACUGAUUCAAGGUGCUGUGAGAAAAAAGCAGAAUAUUUUUAUGUAUUUCUGAUGUUUGGCCAGCAGUGGACCAUAGCACAGCUCAGAGACGGAGAUCUGAUCGGUCACAUCUCCACUCUGGCACCAACCAACCAGCUCAACGUGUUAAUAUUUGUACUGAAGGUAAAGUGUUGAUACUUUCUACAGGCUUGAUGUUUGUUUCGCAGACAGAAGAAGCACAACGCUGCUUUGCUUUUUUUUGCGUAUUCGGACUACUUUAUCACUCCGAGGUUGUGGACAAAUGGACAGAAGAGUUGAGAAGCAACAUAUCGGGAGAGACGAACGUUAUGUUCUGUUGUUCACAUAGUUUUGGAACUUAACAAAUGGAGAUUCGAGGACGUGACUUUGACAUAUUUCUCUCUGUGCAAAAAAAAAAAAAAAAUCAACAACUUUGGAUUUAAAAACAUCAGAAGUGCAGUUCUGGGGAUUUCACACGACAACAGUCACAAACUACCAGACUGCUCAGCUGGGACUCAGAAACUCUAGCAUGUUAAGUCCAAAAAACACCCACAACCUGAAACAGUGAUUCUCGAUGUAGCAACUGAAAUCUGUGUUCAUGUCAGUUUGCAAUAGAGACUUCUGUGCUUGACAAUUUACCUUACUGAAUGUUUUCUUUUCUUUCUUUUUUUUUUUUUUUUUUAUAAGUUUGUGGUUUGACUUCUGGAAUCUGUUUGAGACAUUUUUCUCAGACAUUUGGCUUUGAUUCAUUGAUUGUACACUUUGAUUUUGAAUGAGAAUCAUUCGUCUGAAACAAAGACAGAACACCUUGUAGUUGUAGCGGGUGUUCUCUCUGAUGGCCUUUGAUUUGUUUCCAAAGUGCUGAUUUCUCAACUCCACCUUGGUCCUAAACGUACUGUACUGUAACAUGAAGUGCAGUCUGUUUUAAAAUCAGCGAUUAUUAAGGCAACUUUAAAGACGAUAGACACAAAUUUGACAUCAACUCAAUCUCAGCAUUUGGGCCAUUUAAAUAUCGGCUAUGUCAGUAGUAACUCUAAUGAUCUCUUUCCUCCAAACACUUCGGGCUGACCCAAAUGCUUUGACACUUCUGCUAGUGCCUGGAUUAAUUGACAUCCACACUGGUAGUCGAAGGAAGGUGACUUUGUGUCAACGGCACUGUAAAAGGGGCAAAAGACUCCCACUGGGCGUUUAAAGGAAUAGCUCACCCAAAAAAUUAAAAUUCACUGUUCUCACUGUCAUGAUGGAAGCUUAAGUGAAGUUUCGCAGUCUGAGGGCCAUUUCUGGAACUUCACAGCAUUCUCCUAAACAGCUGAAAUAGAUGGGGACUUGUUUUAAAACGUAGAAGAAUACAUGAAACGGCUCUAUACGGCUCGAGCGGUGUAAUCCAAGUCUACAGAAGCCCUGAGAUCCCACAUUAAUCCAAAAUGAUGUUAUUUAUGCGCUUGACGUUAGGUCGAGCUUGUGCGACCACUUUAAUCGGGUGUGCGCUAAUGCUUUUAGCUUAGCAGCUACAAUGAAGACACCAUCUUUUAUGUAUGUUGUUUUAUGGUUGCUUUAUGGAGCCAAUUUGUGUUUUUAAGGUUUUAAAACAGGUCUCCAGCUUCCUCAGCUGUUAAAGAAAAACGCUGAAAAGCUGAAAACCUCCAAACAUUUUGUAAACUAUGAAACCUCACCAGACUUUCCAUCAUGAGAGUGAGAUUAUAGUGAAUAAACUUGGAUUUUGGGGGGGAACCUUAAGUUCCUUUAAGUAGUCUCAAAACCUGUGCACAUAAAAACCAGCAAAGGGAGCAUUUCUGAUGCCUCUGGUCCUAUCCUCGUCUCUCAUUAGACUCGUAAUUACAACAUUAGCCAGCAGUAAAGGGGAAAUUAAUGACCCUUGGUUUGAUUGCUUGUGUUACGCACACCAACCUUCCCCUCAAGGUCGAAGGUCUGAAUAUUCACAGUUAAUUGGAGCUUCCAAAAAUGGUAUUCGUUACAGCCCGUCGGUUAAAUCCAAAACUUCCCUGUUGUGUAAUCAUUAGCUUUACAUGUUGUAAUCAUGCAAUCUGCUGAUCAAUUGACAAAAGUAGACUUGCUGGAUGUGAAAAAAUGUCCAUGCGAAGCUUCCAGUGCCUCAGCAGUAGGAGUUCAAUCAGAAGAGAACACCCUUUUCUAAGUUUUGUGUCUUUUGGUGUGUUUGGAGGAGUUGCUCACGUGCAGACAAACGUUCAGACUCGGUCACAGUCGUAUGUCAAAGUGAGGUUAAAGCCUUCCGUUCAAAUGUGUCACGGCAACUAUUCACCCUCUUUAUCGGCUAACUGGUUUUGUUGUUUUUCUGUUCACACACACGUUCUGAACUGCUGUGACACAAAAAUAAGUUGUUGCCCUCCUUUUUUUGCCUGUUACUGGAAACAUUUGAAAGCAGACAGAUGUGAUCUGUGCUGUGCAGAACAAAGGGAUAGUCAGCCUCCUGUCAGACUCUGACGUGGCAGAAGACGAGCAAAAAUCGUGUGUGUGUGUGUGUGUGUGUGUGUGUGUGUGUGUGUGUGUGUGUGAGAGAGAGAGAGAGAGAGAGAGAGAGAGAGUCGAAC